CAGAGACUCACAGUAACACAGAUCUACAGCUCAGAGCACAGACAACAUUAACACACACCUGAUCUGACCUAGUCAACAUGGAGAAACACCUGCUGCUGAUUUUAAUUCUGACUUCAGGUGUGAUGACUGAAGACCUGAUUGGACCAAAUCAAGAAACUAGUGUCAUGAAGGAAAAGGAGACUGUGACCCUCAGCUGCACAUAUGAUACAAGCAGCAGUUAUGUUUAUCUGUACUGGUAUAGACAGUAUCUUAAUGGAAAGCUUCAAUAUUUGUUAUUUGAGCCUGCACGAUCGGGUAGUGGAAGUGGGAGCCCCGAUGAUCCUCGCUUUCAGUCGACUACAUCACACACAUCCACUGAACUCACUAUUACUCGUGUAACUCUGUCAGAUUCAGCUCUCUAUUAUUGUGCUCUAAGAGUAGGAGCACAGUGAUACAAAGUUUGUGUGAAGCCGUUCAAAAACUCAAAUUCAUGUUUUCCCUUUGAUGUCAAGCCAUAUCAAACCCACAAUCUAUAAUUCACACAAUUUAAUUUCACAUGUGGAAGCACACCUGUGUGCGGUUACUGAAAAUGUAAUGAAUAGGAAA